AGCAGCCGCGGUAAUUCCAGCUCCAAUAGCGUAUAUUAAAGUUGUUGCAGUUAAAAAGCUCGUAGUUGAAUUUCGGGAUCAAUGUUUCGGUCAUGCCCUUGGUAUGUACUGAUAUUAUUGGUUUCUCACCUUCUAAAGAACCGUAGUGCCAUUAAUUUGGUGUCACGGGGAAUUAGGACUGUUACCUUGAAAAAAUUAGAGUGUUUAAAGCAGGCUCACGCUUGAAUACAUUAGCAUGGAAUAAUGAAAUAGGACAUCCGAUUCUAUUUUGUUGGUUUCUAGGAUCGUUGUAAUGAUUAAUAGGGAUAGUUGGGGGCAUUAGUAUUCAAUUGUCAGAGGUGAAAUUCUUGGAUUUAUUGAAGACUAACUACUGCGAAAGCAUUUGCCAAGGAUGUUUUCAUUAAUCAAGAACGAAAGUUAGGGGAUCGAAGACGAUCAGAUACCGUCGUAGUCUUAACCAUAAACUAUGCCGACUAGGGAUCGGAUGAUGUUAAUUUUUUAAUGACUCA
rnacentral:rRNA from 1 species